CACUUAUUUGGCUUUAAUUAUUGCUCGAAAGCCAACUAGCUAAGUAUUAGGGCUUUCUGAGCAACAAUCAAAAUUAUAUAAGUG
rnacentral:pre_miRNA from 1 species